rnacentral:rRNA from 1 species
GAUGAACGCUAGCGGCAGGCUUAAUACAUGCAAGUCGAGGGGUAACAGGGGUAGCAAUACCUGCUGACGACCGGCAAACGGGUGCGGAACACGUACGCAACCUUCCCAAAACUGGGGAAUAGCCCUCCGAAAGGAGGAUUAAUACCCCGUAACAUAACGAAGUGGCAUCACUUUGUUAUUAUAGUUCCGACGGUUUUGGAUGGGCGUGCGCCUGAUUAGGUAGUUGGCGGGGUAACGGCCCACCAAGCCUGCGAUCAGUAACUGGUGUGAGAGCACGACCAGUCACACGGGCACUGAGACACGGGCCCGACUCCUACGGGAGGCAGCAGUAAGGAAUAUUGGUCAAUGGACGCAAGUCUGAACCAGCCAUGCCGCGUGAAGGAUGACGGCCCUCUGGGUUGUAAACUUCUUUUAUCUGGGACGAAAAAAGGGUAUUCUUACUCACUUGACGGUACCAGAGGAAUAAGCACCGGCUAACUCCGUGCCAGCCGCCGCAGUAAUAC